rnacentral:rRNA from 1 species
AAAAGUGGAUUAGCGGCGGACGGGUGAGUAACACGUGAGUAACCUGCCUUAGACAUUGGGAUAGCCUCGGGAAACCGGGAUUAAUACCAAGUAAAAUCAUAAUGACACAUGUCAUAACGAUCAAAACUCCGGUGGUCUAAGAUGGACUCGCGUCCCAUUAGCUAGUUGGUAGAGUAAAAGCCUACCAAGGCGACGAUGGGUAGCCGGCCUGAGAGGGUGAACGGCCACAUUGGAACUGAGAAACGGUCCAA